AACUGGCUACGGUCGGGCGGGUCAAUGGGUCCCGCGCAAAUCUGGCGUGUAGCAGCCAUCGGAUGUGGAGCGGAAAAAGGGGAUAUUCCCAUAUAUUUUUUGUUCCGUAAGGGCAUGUCCACUAACAAACCCUCCACAAACCAGGUAUCCAGCAAAAUUUAUAAUGAGGCUAAGAAGAAGAUGAUCCAGGGAAGGCCCAACUAAAACAGUCAAUCAAUCAAAAAACAAAACAAACAAAAAAACUAAUGACAAACAUUGCUGGAGAUGAGGUCAGCAGAGACUAACACAGGAAGAGCAUUGUGAACAGAAAUAUUGGAGCUCAGUAUAAGAGGAAGUUGCUGUUGAUGUGGGUUCACGCAGGAGCUACAGAGGACUGCAGUUGGAUGGAACUGAUCAUUUCAUCAGUUGUUUACUGCCUUUGUUUGAAAUCUUUAAUUCAAAGUAGAUGAUGUAUUUUUAAAAGUUGCUUUCUAGAAUAAGAUUUGCCUUCCAGGAAACUUCAGUUUAUCUUUCCAUAAGAUAAUCUCCAUAUAAGUAUCAUCCAACUCAGUCACUUGCAUUUAUCAAUCUUUUGCAUUUUAUCCAUUACUUGUAUCAAUUUAGUAGUUGUUAGUUACUCUUUUCUAUCCCUUUGUUAACAAGCCCCCUUUUAUUACACUUGUGUCUUCCUUGUGUUGAUAAUACAGUAAUUUGGCUCUAAAGAUAUUUCACAAAUCCUUCAUAUUAGUCAAGAGUGCAACUUCCUAUAAUUAAUUUUUAGGCUUAUUUAUUUGGCAAUCUUCCAAGAUUGUUCUUUACGGUCAAGGUGAAAUUCUUGGCUGGUGCCUCGUAAAAUAGUAUGGCCAAAAAUAAACAUUAAUGUUAAAGCCCAAUGUCAUUACAAUACUUAAAUCUAAAAUCACUACAUUUAGCAGUAUCCAACAAUGUUUUCACUACAUGUGCAUUACUUUUUAUUUGAUGAGCACAUGCCACAGGAUUCACUAAACUGAAAAUUUGCUAAAUGUUGUUCAAAACUCUAAGAAAUCAACACGUGUUUUAAACUAGAUCUUGGUCACUGACUUUAUCUUUUCAGCAAACAACUUUGUUGUGAUGGAAGUCAGAUGUUACAGACAAAGGCACCGGAUAUUUGAAAGGCAAAAAUUACACCAUGGCAACACAAAGUGAAAGUUAUCAUUUAUUAAAUAUAUAUUGAGUGAAUAAACGAACCUCGGUCAAAUAUAUCAUUCUCUGGCUGUCACAAAUAUGCGGUUCUUAAAGUAGAC